rnacentral:lncRNA from 1 species
UGAUGUUGUUUCUUUUUCUUUUAUUUCUUUUAUUCAAUUCAAAAUCCUAUAUGAAAUAGAUUUUUCUAUUGCCUUGAUCAGAUGUAGACGACAUAGUUUUUGAGCAUUUCAACUCAAUAUCUAUAACAACAUCAAAUAAAUAAUAAUUUUUAUUGAGAAUGUUUAACUACAUUAUGAGGUUAUUAUGAUUACAAUGGUUAUAUUUAUAAACACCAACUUGCAAUUUAGGUGAUAGAGCAUAUAUGUCAUUUCAAAAAGCUAUCUAUGUCAUUUGUGGUAAAGAUAACAAAAUCUAAUAUUAGAGGAUUUUAGAGAUUUUGAUAUACUACAAGAAUUAAAUGCAAUAUUCUUUGAUUUUUUUUAAAUGUUUUUAUUCAUAAUAUACCCCCUAAAUUUUAUUUCAAAAUAGAUCUAAAACAUAUUAUCUCGAUCGUCUUAAUACAAUUUGAAAAUCUCGUGUUAAUUUUCUUGUUAAAGUCGAUUUUAAAAUUACUCUUGGAAAAUAAUUCUGAACUGUUCUCUUAACGUUAAACUCCAGUGAGGAAUGCUGUGUGUUGAGAAGAUCUUUCGAAUAAUUAUCAUCAACAAUGAAAUUGUCUCUACACAAACAAUCACCAACUUGAAAAUCUCAUAUAAUACAAAUUUUAUUUUUAUUAUUUUAUUUUUAUCAUUGAUAGGUAUAUAUAUAUAUAUAUAUAUAUAUAUGUUUGCUUCAAGUAAAAAAAUUAUGUAUUUGUUAUUCUAUAAAAAUAUCCAGUUGAAAUUCAAGGUUUUCAGAAAUAACUUUAUAGUAAAUGUAUAAGAAAAAUCAAAAAUUUCAAUGUAAAAAUCAGAAUUUUGAUUACAUUGAAUAUGUAAUAUAAUUCAAAAUAAAUAAUCUUUUAUUCAUCCUCAGUAACAUGACGAUUCUGUGUUCAUGUAUUUUAGUAAAAUUAUUUUAAAAUUCUUAACUGUAACAAUUUUCAGAAUAUUGGAUUUUAGAGGAACUAAGGAU